CAUUUUCAGUUGAAAAUCUACUCAUGCUCACUGUCUCAAAAAUAGUGUCUUAAUUGCAUUACAAGUUUAGGUCUUCGAUAAGAAAAUCUAGGAAUCAAAUGCUUUGACACAUUCCCACUAAAAAGAGUCCUCGAAACACAAUACUAGCAAUUUCUUCUAGUUCAAAGAAAAUACCAUUGCUAAGAACUCUUGUCGACUAAUAUGGAUCUCUUGUCCAU